GAACUGAAGAGUUUGAUCCUGGCUCAGAUUGAACGCUGGCGGCAUGCCUAACACAUGCAAGUCGAACGGAGAUAGGGGCAACCUUAUUUCAGUGGCGGACGGGUGAGGAAUGCGUCGGAAUCUACCCUAUGGUGGGGGAUAACACAGGGAAACUUGUGCUAAUACCGCAUGAUGUCGAGAGACCAAAGCAGGGGACCGCAAGGCCUUGCGCGAUAGGAUGAGCCGACGCCCGAUUAGCUUGUUG
rnacentral:rRNA from 1 species